ACCCUCUCAGGGUUGCCCCGGGAGAGUUUCCAGUACUCUGCCAGUCUCGGCUACGGGAGGAAGAGUCAAGCAGGGGUAUACCCGUUCCAUUCCUAGCUUGGCCAGUGGCUAGCGAGUGGAAGGCAAUAUGCUACAAGU